GUCUAUGGCCAUACCACCCUGAACGUGCCUGAUCUCGUCUGAUCUCGGAAGCUAAGCAGGGUCGGGCCUGGUUAGUACUUGGAUGGGAGAAUACAACUGAUGUGUUAAGGUAUUUUACAUU
ensembl:rRNA 5S_rRNA 5S ribosomal RNA